UCCCCGUUACCGGGGCAGUCUAGCCAGAGAAAUUCAACUGACUAAAAGGGUUGCGCUCGUUGAUGGACUUAACCAAACAUCUCACGACACGAGCUGACGACGGCCAUGCAACACCUGUCACUUGGCUCAAUAAAGCACUCUCGCCUUUCGGCAAAAUUCCAAGGAUGUCAAACCCUGGUAAGGUUCUUCGCUUACCAUCGAAUUAAAGAACACGCUCCACCGCUUGUGCGGGUCCCCGUCAAUUCCUUUAUGUUUUAAGCUUGCGCUCGUACUCCACAGGCGGGAUGCUUAACGCGUUAGCUUCGCUACUACAAGGGUCGAUACUCAUAACAGCUAGCAUCCAUCGUUUACGGCGUGGACUAA
rnacentral:misc_RNA from 1 species